UACAGAGGUCUCAAGCGUUAGGCGGAAUCACUGGGCUUAAAGCGUGUGUAGGUGGGUUUGUAAGUACCUUGUGAAAUCCCAUGGCUCAACCAUGGAACUGCUGGGUAUACUGCGAAUCUUGAGCUGUCUAGAGGUUACUGGAACAAACGGUGGAGCGGUGAAAUGCGUAGAUAUCAGGAGGAACACCGGUGGCGAAGGCUGUUCUCUGGGCAUUACCUGACGCUGAGGAGCGAAAGUGUGGGGAGCGAACAGG
rnacentral:rRNA from 1 species